rnacentral:rRNA from 1 species
CCUACGGGAGGCAGCAGUGGGGAAUCUUGGACAAUGGACGAAAGUCUGAUCCAGCGAUUCCGCGUGGAGGAUGAAGCCUUAUGGGGUGUAAACUCCUUUUCUGGGGGAAGACGAAUGACGGUACUUCAGGAAUAAGGGACGGCUAACUACGUGCCAGCAGCCGCGGUAAUACGUAGGUCCCGAGCGUUAUCCGGAAUUACUGGGCGUAAAGCGUCUGUAGCCGGAUGUGUAAGUCUGUUUUCAAAAACCUGGACUCAAUCGAGGCGAGGGAAUAGAUACUGCAUAUCUAGAGAAUUUGGGAGGUUAUUGGAAUUUCCGGUGGAGCGGUGAAAUGCGUUGAUAUCGGAAGGAACGCCAAAAGCGAAGGCAGAUAACUAUAGAAUUUCUGACGGUGAGAGACGAAAGCUUGGGGAGCAAACGGGAUUAGAUACCCGGGUAGUC